UCGAGUCCAGACACGGGGAGGAUUGACAGAUUGAGAGCUCUUUCUUGAUUCUGUGGGUGGUGGUGCAUGGCCGUUCUUAGUUGGUGGGUUGCCUUGUCAGGUUGAUUCCGGUAACGAACGAGACCUCAGCCUGCUAAAUAGUCACAUCUGCCUCUCGCAGCUGGCCGACUUCUUAGAGGGACUAUUGUCGUUUAGGCAAUGGAAGUAUGAGGCAAUAA
rnacentral:rRNA from 1 species